AAAAUAACUGCAGCAUUCAUGUCAACAGAAUGAAGUGUUGUUCAGUUACAGCGAUGAGUUAAAAUGGAUCUGUACCAGAUAAAUCGAGAAAAACUUCAAUUAAAUUCGAAUCACUCGAAUUGCAUUUAUUCUUUAAGAAUUUUUUCUGGCAUAAUAAUUUCUUUAUCUUGUGAAAAUAAACAUGCAAUAAUUAAACAAAUAUAUAUCACAUCGAUUACAAAACAAUAUUUCAAAUGUAUAAAGAAUAAAGGCCACUCGAUCGACAAAUGGAAAAGAAAUGAAAAAGAAUGAAUCCAUUGAAUCGUUCAAAAAUUGAUCAAAAACUAUUGUAGUUAUAUAACUUGACAACUAGCAGUAAAAAAAAAAAAGAAACGGUGACACGCGGUUUACGUAAUUUUUAUGUGAAAUCUAGUCAUCCAUAUUCCUUCAUACUAUGUGCUAUUUCAUAACGAAUCACUCUCACAAUCAACCUUGCGAUUCAAUUUUUACGAUUUUUCUUAGAACCGUAAGUCAAUCUCAUUAGAUUUUGUUAUAUAUAUUGAAAAGGAAUGUUAUGCUGGAAUUCUCGGUUUUGCCUUUCCUGUACGAAUGUCAUCCAAUUACCGACUGGAAAUGCAAUAUCCCAAUCUUGCUUCCGUAUCACUGACAGGAAAAGAAGCUAAAGCGACGACACUGACUCGAAUCGAAUUAUUGGAAAGUUACAAAAAUGUUAUAUAGAAUAAUUAAUUAAAUGGAAAUUUGGUUUAAAUCUAAUCUAAAUCUUAGAAAAGUAAAUACAUUUAUAUUUACGACAAUUGUGAUUAUUAAUCUAAUAACUGUUUUUAAUCUACGUAAGUAUUAAAAUCGAUUUAUAUCAAUAGAUUCAAAAUUA